GGCCCAAAAGGACAUGGUUGGAAGUAGUGAGAAAAUGUAUAGGGGUUUAUGGCCUCACUGAGGGUAUGGCCCUUAACAGAGUAGAAUGGUGGAGCAUGAUUCGUGUAGGGAUCCUAAUUAGUUGGGAAAGGGCAUUGACAAUGACAGUGAUGAUGAUGAAGCUUUGGAUUAUUGUUAGAUUUAAUAUAUGAGGGCCUGAUGUUCAAUUAUUGUUGCUUUAUUCUGUAGUAACCAUGACACCUACUGCAUCUUCGAUGUACUAUAUAUGCAAUGUAUAGUAAUUUCCUAGUCUUUGGAUCCGUAUUGUAUGUAUAUACAUUUUCCUCAACUCAAUAAUUUCAGUUUCUUUUUGAAAUUAUCAUUUGUUUCUUAUUUCGAGUGCAUCAUGCAUAACUUAAAUUUAAGGAAUUAGAAGUGUGCGCCAUCCUAUGAGUUGGUUGUGCUAUAAUCAUCUAUGGAUGUGAAAUUUGUAUGCAACAAUUUGUAAUUUGUACUACAUUUUUAAUUUGUGAAUAUUUUUUCUCCACAAUUAUUUUGCAAAUCACACCAACUCUUGUUAAAAACAUGCAAAAUAGAUCUUUAUAAUUUUCUUUUGCAUUUUCCUCUAUUUUGUCACGCUACAAGUUUAAAUCUGAACAUCUCUUGCAUAUUGCAAUUUUCAAAAUCAUAACAGUUUGUGUUAACUAGUUAAACAAUGAGUGUGUUUUGUAUAAAUUUGUGUUUUUUGUCCAUCCACACUAUAGAUUUUAGUUUGUGAACUUGCUUCCUUGCAUGUUACUGUUUUAAAAAUUAUGAGUAUUGUAACAACUCUUUUUAGCGACUGAGUGAAAAAAGAUUUGGCAUGGGUUGCAUCAGGGCCAUUCUUACCUUACUACUGUUAUGACAAAAAUAGAAGCGAAACUGAACCAAUGGACUAUGAAAUCACACCUUUAUCAAUAGGGCCAUAACUAUCAUUAGAAUGAUGAGUGGCAAUGGAGAGAGUGGGGGUCUUGUCUUGUCUCUCUCUCUCUCUCUCAUUUCAAGGGACAGUGAUCGCACAAUAUUCUGUGUGUGUGCGUGCGUGUUAUUGCAAGGAACGUGAUGGCACAAUAAACGCUCUCUUCGUCUGUGGUGUUCUCUCUCUCUCUUUGUGUGUGUGUGCUCGCACAUGCGUUCGUGUGUGUCUUUCUUCAAGGAACAGAGAUGGUGCAAUAAACACUCUCUCCCUCUGUGUUAUUUCAAGGGACAGUGGUGGUGCAAUACGCUGUGUGUGUGUGUGUUAUUUCAAUGGACAACAAUCGCAUAGUGAACUCUGGUUUUUACAUGGUCCAUUAGAUUGUAGUAUAGUUUCCCACAAGUAGAACACUGAAUUCUAGUCUUAUGUAGUAGAAUCUUUCUCUUGAAACAACAUUUCUGCCAUUGGUAUUCAGAUGGGUUAAGCCAUGAUCUUCAUUUGGGCUCUGUUGGUUUACCAUUAUUGGCAAUUAGCCUGAUACUAUUCCCACUUCUAUGUCUUUGCAAGCCGGAACAAUUGUCAAAAUGGAAUCAGGGUCCCUUGAAAGCCCGAACUCUUCUACAUUCUCUGACGGAUGAGGAUCACGCCCUUGGAAAUGCGGUUAGAUUUGUCUUAAAUCAGGAGUGAGUACUCAUAAUUUAUUUCUAUGUACGUAGUUAAUUCAAUGGACCUGCAAUGGCUCACCACCAUCCGUCGAAAGGAAUGGUGAUGAAGGGAGUGGGUCCUGUUCCAGGAUCGUAUCCUGUUGUGGUGGUUCGCAUCUUCUUUGCAUCAUUGUUUGUCACUUCAAUGGAUGGUGAUGGCCCCAGUGAGUAAGGUGACCCUGCCAAAGAUGUGGUCAAAGAUGCCCUCCAGGAUCGGAUGUCCAUGUGCCAACAUGUGAGGGGCACAUUUGAUAAGGCAGUUAUUGACUUCAAUAAGAAAGGCGCAAAAGGAAGCAGACAGAGUAAUACGAAGGGGGGGAGACAGAGAAAGAGGGGUGCGCAGGGCUGUUGAAGACAUGAACAUUGACUGAGAAUUGAUAGCACCAGUGUUCUAGAAACUGGAUUAGCCUAUUGAACCAGCUGCCGGCUAUUUUAUGGCUUCCCCAUGUUACACUGUGCUCUGGGGGAAUACACUGUAUGCACGAUUUUGUCCUUUCCCAUGUUUUCGAUAGCUAUACGAUCUUAGAUGAAAAGUACUGCUUGGAAGCACAUUGUAAAUGCUCAUUGGUCUUUUCUCAUGUGUUUAAGAUGAAAAACAUUGUUUCUUUGAUAUUCUGUUUUGGGGUUUUGGGUUU